GAAAGCAGCUGAAGCGGCGGCCGAGUCGGAGCCUCCGGCACAGGGGCGGGAGCUGAGGCGGUAGCGGACCGGCUGGCGGGCUAGCGAAAGGCGGCGGAAUGGUGGACUACCACGCAGCGAACCAGGCGUACCAGUACGGCCCGAACAGCGGCGGCGGCAAUGGCGCGGGUGGCGGCGGAAGCAUGGGCGACUACAUGGCCCAGGAGGAUGACUGGGACCGGGACCUGCUGUUGGACCCGGCCUGGGAGAAGCAGCAGCGCAAGACCUUCACAGCCUGGUGCAACUCUCAUCUUCGGAAGGCUGGCACUCAGAUCGAGAAUAUCGAUGAGGACUUCAGGGAUGGGCUCAAACUUAUGCUUCUGUUGGAGGUCAUUUCAGGGGAGCGUUUGCCUAAGCCAGAGCGGGGGAAGAUGCGAGUGCACAAGAUCAACAAUGUAAACAAAGCCCUGGACUUCAUCGCCAGCAAGGGAGUCAAGCUGGUGUCCAUCGGGGCAGAAGAGAUUGUGGAUGGCAAUGCAAAGAUGACCCUGGGAAUGAUCUGGACCAUCAUCCUCAGAUUUGCCAUCCAGGACAUCUCUGUGGAAGAGACCUCUGCUAAGGAAGGACUCCUCCUCUGGUGCCAGAGAAAGACAGCCCCAUAUAAAAACGUCAACGUCCAGAACUUCCAUAUCAGCUGGAAGGACGGGCUGGCCUUCAAUGCACUCAUCCACCGGCACAGGCCUGAGCUGAUUGAGUAUGACAAGCUGCGGAAGGAUGAUCCAGUCACCAACCUAAACAAUGCAUUUGAAGUGGCUGAGAAAUACCUCGAUAUCCCCAAGAUGUUGGAUGCUGAGGACAUCGUGAACACAGCCCGGCCCGACGAGAAGGCCAUAAUGACAUAUGUGUCCAGCUUCUACCAUGCCUUUUCAGGAGCGCAGAAGGUACCAGGCAGGGCCAGGCAGCCCUCCUCGCCGCCACUGCCCAAUGCCGCCGCUGCCUUUCGCCUCCCACGCUCACUUCAUUUCUCUUGCAGACGGCAGUGGCCUCUCUUGGACUGGAAACCAGCUCCCUCAGUCCUGGGCAUUGCUGCCUAUCUAGUCCUUGCUCAGUCUAUUGAGUGCCUGCUGUACACCAGGCUCUGUUCAGGCAGUGAGAACACAGGCAAGUUCCUGCUGCAAGGAAGCGUAUUUCCUAGUAGGUGAGACAGACAGGGCAUGUGAUCCGAGGACUCACUGGACAGGGUGGUGAGGUAGAGGCACCUGGGUCCUCUGGGAGCUGGGACCAUCAGUUGGAAAGGGCUUCACUCAAAACUGGGGCUGCCAGGUAAAGGCUACACAGGCAGGCCUCAGCAAGUGAGAUGGCGCAGCUUGCAGAGACAGUGACUCGAGAGAGCAAGGAAAGUUGAAAACAUCAGCUAGCCAUGGGUCAUUCUGCUGAGAGAGGUUUGUUUGUUUGUUUGUUUGUUAUUUGGGGGUACCUUUUAUUUAUUUUUUUUUUCUUUUCUUUUUUUUUUUCCAUUUUUUAUUAGGUAUUUAGCUCAUUUACAUUGGUACCUUUUAUUUUAUGUAAGUGUUUCGCUUGCAUGUAUAUCUGUGCACCUGGUACCUAGGGAGGCCAGCUGUUGGAUCCCUUAGAACUAGAGUUACAGAUAGUUGUCAGCCACCAUGUGGGAGCUUGGGUUGAACCUAAGUCCAAUGCUCUUAACUGCUGAGCCAUCUCUCCAGUUACAGGUUGUUUUCUUUGGUUUGGUUUGGGGGAUUUUUUGGUUUUGUUUUUGUUUUUUUGAUUUUUUGGUUUUUUAGACAAUGUCUCGUACAUAUAGCUCAGCUAGCUCUAAAGUCAUGAUGCUCCAUGUGCUACCACCUGGGGCUUUUUACUUUUGGGGGGGGUCGUUGAUAUAGUCCUGGCUGUCCUGGAAUCUUGGAACUUUGUAUGUAUAGACCAGGCCAGCCUUGAUCUUCCUGUCUCUGCCUCUGAGGUGCUGGGAUUGCCAGUGUCUGGCAAUGUUUGACUUUUUGAGACAGAAUCUGAUUCUUUAGUUGUUCCUGCCAUAGCUUCCUGAGUGCCAGAAUUGCAGAUGUGCACCAUAGAGCCCAGCAUCUUUAGGGUGUUAUGCAAAUGGCUGGUAGGUCAAGUGACACGAUUAUGGUUAGGGUUUCAGAAACAGUCGCUUAACUUUUGACUUUUUUGGCCCUAAAUGCAGCUCCUUUCAUACAGUCUAGUUAGUUUUCAAUGGCCUAUUUGAAAAUGAGGCUCCUCCCUCAGAGCCUGAUGGCCCUUCUGUGCACCAUGGCAGGGCAUGUCCCCCAGGUCUGAGCUCCGCUGGUUUCCAGUCCAGAGCAAGCGCUAUUCUUCCCGCAUGAGCCUCGGGCUGGCUGGCCGCCUCCCUCCUGCAUCUUUCACUCUGUCCUGUCUCUCUCUUCUCUCUCUCUCUCUGCGCAGAUAUUGUAGGCACUCUGAGGCCAGAUGAGAAGGCCAUCAUGACUUACGUGUCCUGCUUCUACCACGCCUUCUCGGGGGCCCAGAAGGCUGAGACCGCUGCCAACCGGAUCUGCAAGGUGCUGGCUGUGAACCAGGAAAAUGAGCACCUGAUGGAAGACUAUGAACGCCUGGCCAGUGAUCUUCUAGAGUGGAUUCGGCGCACCAUCCCCUGGCUGGAGGACCGGGUGCCUCAGAAGACCAUCCAGGAAAUGCAGCAGAAGCUGGAGGACUUCCGAGACUAUAGGCGUGUGCACAAGCCGCCCAAGGUGCAGGAGAAGUGUCAGCUGGAGAUCAACUUCAACACACUGCAGACCAAGCUGCGGCUCAGCAACCGGCCUGCCUUCAUGCCCUCCGAGGGCAGGAUGGUCUCCGACAUCAACAAUGGAUGGCAGCACCUGGAGCAGGCUGAGAAGGGCUAUGAAGAAUGGCUGCUGAAUGAAAUCCGUAGGCUGGAACGGCUUGACCACCUGGCAGAGAAGUUCCGGCAGAAGGCUUCCAUCCACGAGGCCUGGACUGAUGGGAAGGAGGCCAUGCUGAAGCAACGGGACUACGAGACAGCCACCCUGUCAGACAUCAAAGCUCUGAUCCGAAAACAUGAGGCCUUUGAAAGUGACCUGGCUGCACACCAGGACCGAGUGGAGCAGAUUGCUGCAAUUGCUCAGGAGCUCAACGAGCUGGACUACUAUGACUCCCACAACGUCAACACACGGUGCCAGAAGAUCUGCGACCAGUGGGAUAACCUGGGCUCUCUGACACACAGUCGCAGGGAAGCCUUGGAGAAAACAGAGAAACAGCUAGAGACCAUCGACCAGCUACAUUUGGAGUAUGCCAAGCGGGCUGCACCCUUCAACAACUGGAUGGAGAGUGCCAUGGAGGACCUGCAGGACAUGUUCAUCGUCCACACCAUCGAGGAGAUCGAGGGCCUGAUCUCAGCCCAUGACCAGUUCAAGUCCACCCUGCCAGAUGCUGACAGGGAGCGUGAGGCCAUCCUGGCCAUCCACAAGGAGGCCCAGAGGAUCGCUGAGAGCAAUCACAUCAAGCUGUCGGGCAGCAAUCCCUACACCACUGUUACCCCCCAGAUCAUCAACUCCAAGUGGGAGAAGGUGCAGCAGCUGGUGCCAAAGAGGGACCAUGCACUCCUGGAGGAGCAGAGCAAGCAGCAAUCCAAUGAGCACCUUCGCCGACAGUUCGCCAGCCAAGCCAAUAUGGUGGGGCCGUGGAUCCAGACCAAGAUGGAGGAGAUCGGGCGCAUCUCCAUUGAGAUGAACGGGACUCUGGAAGACCAGCUGAGCCACCUGAAGCAGUACGAGCGCAGCAUCGUGGACUACAAGCCCAGCCUGGACCUGCUGGAGCAGCAGCACCAGCUCAUCCAGGAGGCCCUCAUCUUCGACAACAAGCACACCAACUACACAAUGGAGCAUAUCCGUGUGGGCUGGGAGCAGCUGCUCACGACCAUUGCCCGCACCAUCAAUGAGGUGGAAAACCAGAUCCUCACCCGAGAUGCCAAGGGUAUCAGCCAGGAGCAGAUGCAGGAGUUCCGGGCAUCCUUCAACCAUUUUGACAAGGACCAUGGCGGGGCACUGGGGCCUGAGGAAUUCAAGGCCUGCCUCAUCAGCCUGGGCUAUGACGUGGAGAAUGACCGGCAGGUACGCGAACCACGGCCCCAGCAGACCGACAUUAACUGCUCUUCUCUUUCUCUCCUCUUCACCCCUGGCAUCCUGUGCUGUCUCCUGGCUCUCUUGCCUCUCCUCCCUCAUGUCUCUGGACACUUCACCCCUUACCUGGUCUCUGGGCCUCCUGUCUCCUUGCUUCUCCAUUGUCCUGUCUGUCCGCUGUGCACAUGGGGCCUAAUCUGGGCCUGGCCUCUGCUAUGCCUGCGUCCUGGGAGCAGAAGCAGACAGGCAGCAUGGACUCAGAUGACUUCAGGGCCCUGCUUAUCUCCACAGGAUACAGCCUGGGUGAUGCUGAGUUCAACCGGAUCAUGAGUGUGGUUGAUCCCAACCAUAGUGGCCUCGUGACCUUCCAAGCCUUCAUUGACUUCAUGUCAAGGGAGACCACAGACACAGACACAGCUGAUCAGGUCAUCGCCUCCUUCAAGGUCCUGGCAGGAGACAAGAACUUCAUCACUGCUGAGGAACUGCGGAGAGAGCUGCCCCCCGACCAGGCCGAGUACUGCAUCGCCCGCAUGGCACCCUACCAGGGGCCUGAUGCUGCUCCUGGCGCCCUUGACUACAAGUCCUUCUCCACAGCCCUCUAUGGGGAGAGCGACCUGUGAGGCCCUUGGCCACCCUGAACAGAGACUCCCUUGGCCUCCCGGAGGGGCUGAGGAGCCCUGCCCCCACCCUGACUCUGUAUCUAUGCAAAGAGCUCUUUGUGGUCCUUCUAGGGGGUCAGGCAGGGAGGGGCUAGGCAGGCCUCUCUUUCUCAGUCUUGUAGGGGAGGGAGGCUUGGCAAUCAGCAUUUCUGGUCUGCUAAAUAUAUACGCUGUGCUGUGGGUUCUUAGCCGAUUGGAGGGGACAACGGACUCCUGUGCCCCAGAGAUACCUUCCUAUCCCAGGUCCCCUCUGCCCCUGAGGCCCCUUCAAAGCCUCUCACAUCUAGGCCAAAGCCCCAUGUGCCUUGUCCAGGAACCGCCUGCCCUAAGAAGUCCAGCAGAGGGCACCCAGCUCCCCUGGACCAGAUUCCAGUGGCUCCUCCCAGGAGCAGAGGACCUGCCAUAGCCCUUCUCUGCCUCAGGAGUGGCUGCGGGGCAAUCAGCCCCAGCCCACCUGGCCUCUGAGUCUCAGAUUUUCUAAGGACCAAAACCAACAAAACACAAAGAAUGGAACAGAAACAAACAAAAAAAUCAUUUAAAAAAAAAAAAAGGAAAAAAAAAACUUAAAAAAAAAAAGAAAACUUUAAAAACUUAAGACCUUCCAGAGAAUUACUAUUUACUUUAUUAACUUACGGAUUUAUUAUAUAAAUAUAUAUCCAUCUAGCUGCAUAUCUCUGCCACCUCUCUCACUCUCAUAAUGAAGACAUAGCUGAUUCAAUGCCCUCCCCAGUCCCUCCUGAUUUUCCCCUCGUGGCGGUGGGCAGAGGUCUCUGGGGACCUUCUGAGGUGGAGGCAGGCUGCUGGCCUGCCUGCCUGGUCGUUAAUGGGUUUCUCUCCACUCGCCCCCUUGAGUUUAUUCUGAUUGAUUUUUAUUUUCUUGGUUUCUGGAUAAACCACCCUCUGGGGAUGGGAGAAUAAAACAUGUAAUAUUUUUAAGAAGGA